rnacentral:rRNA from 1 species
UACAGAGGUCCCAAGCGUUGUUCGGAUUUACUGGGCGUAAAGGGAGCGUAGGUGGCGUUCUAAGUCUGAUGUGAAAGCUCUGAGCUUAACUCAGAAAUGGCAUUAGAAACUAGUUUGCUCGAGGAUUGGAGGGGAGAUUGGAAUACUUGGUGUAGCAGUGAAAUGCGUAGAUAUCAAGUGGAACACCAGUGGCGAAGGCGAAUCUCUGGACAAUUCCUGACACUGAUGCUCGAAAGCUAGGGGAGCAAACGGG